AGAGUUUGAUCCUGGCUCAGGAUGAUUUCUAGCGACAGGCUUAACACAUGCAAGUCGAGGGGCAGCGGGGAGGUAGCAAUACUUCCGCCGGCGACCGGCGCACGGGUGAGUAACACGUAUGCAACCUGGCCGCCACAGGGGGAUAACCCGCGGAAACGCGGCCUAAUACCCCGUGACGCCACCGGAGGGCAUCCUCCGGUGGCCAAAGGAGCGAUCCGGUGGCGGAUGGGCAUGCGGCGCAUUAGCUAGACGGCGGGGUGACGGCCCACCGUGGCGACGAUGCGUAGGGGUUCUGAGAGGAAGGUCCCCCACACUGGUACUGAGACACGGACCAGACUCCUACGGGAGGCAGCAGUGAGGAAUAUUGGUCAAUGGUCGGGAGACUGAACCAGCCAAGCCGCGUGAGGGAUGAAGGUACAGAGUAUCGUAAACCUCUUUUGUCAGGGAACAAAGGCGGGGACGCGUCCCCGGAUGAGUGUACCUGAAGAAAAAGCAUCGGCUAACUCCGUGCCAGCAGCCGCGGUAAUACGGAGGAUGCGAGCGUUAUCCGGAUUUAUUGGGUUUAAAGGGUGCGCAGGCGGUCUGUUAAGUCAGCGGUCAAAGCCCGGGGCUCAACCCCGGCCCGCCGUUGAAACUGGCAGUCUCGAGUUGGAGAGAAGUAUGCGGAAUGCGCGGUGUAGCGGUGAAAUGCAUAGAUAUCGCGCAGAACUCCGAUUGCGAAGGCAGCAUGCCGGCUCCACACUGACGCUGAGGCACGAAAGCGUGGGUAUCGAACAGGAUUAGAUACCCUGGUAGUCCACGCAGUAAACGAUGAAUGCUGGCUGUCGGGGGGGACUGACCCCUGGGUGGCGAAGGGAAAAGCGAUAAGCAUUCCACCUGGGGAGGUACGCCGGCAACGGUGAAACUCAAAGGAAUUGACGGUGGCCCGCACAAGCGGAGGAACAUGUGGUUUAAUUCGAUGAUACGCGAGGAACCUUACCCGGGCUCAAACGGGGAGUGACUCAGGCAGAGACGCCUGUUUCCCACGGGACACUCCCCGAGGUGCUGCAUGGUUGUCGUCAGCUCGUGCCGUGAGGUGUCGGCUUAAGUGCCAUAACGAGCGCAACCCCCGCGUGCAGUUGCUAACAGAUAACGCUGAGGACUCUGCACGGACUGCCGGCGCAAGCCGCGAGGAAGGCGGGGAUGACGUCAAAUCAGCACGGCCCUUACGUCCGGGGCGACACACGUGUUACAAUGGGUGGUACAGCGGGAAGCCAGGCGGCGACGCCGAGCGGAACCCGAAAUCCACUCUCAGUUCGGAUCGGAGUCUGCAACCCGACUCCGUGAAGCUGGAUUCGCUAGUAAUCGCGCAUCAGCCAUGGCGCGGUGAAUACGUUCCCGGGCCUUGCACACACCGCCCGUCA
rnacentral:rRNA from 1 species